rnacentral:rRNA from 1 species
UACGGGGGGAGCAAGCGUUGUUCGGAUUUACUGGGCGUAAAGGGCGCGUAGGCGGUCAGCACAAGUCAGUUGUGAAAUCUCCGGGCUUAACUCGGAAAGGUCAACUGAUACUGUGCGACUAGAGUGCAGAAGGGGCAACUGGAAUUCCUGGUGUAGCGGUGAAAUGCGUAGAUAUCAAGAGGAACACCUGAGGUGAAGACGGGUUGCUGGGCUGAUACUGACGCUGAGGCGCGAAAGCUAGGGUAGCAAACGGG